rnacentral:rRNA from 1 species
AUUGAACGCUGGCAGCAUGCCUUACACAUGCAAGUCGAACGGCAGCGCGGGGGCAACCUGGCGGCGAGUGGCGAACGGGUGAGUAAUAUAUCGGAACAUACCCUAGAGUGGGGGAUAACGUAGCGAAAGUUACGCUAAUACCGCAUACGCACUAAGGUGGAAAGUGGGGGAUUCGCAAGAACCUCAUGCUCAUGGAGUGGCCGAUAUCUGAUUAGCUAGUUGGUGAGGUAAAGGCUCACCAAGGCGACGAUCAGUAGCUGGUUUGAGAGAACGACCAGCCACACUGGAACUGAGACACGGUCCAGACUCCUACGGGAGGCAGCAGUGGGGAAUUUUGGACAAUGGGGGACAACCCUGAUCCAGCAAUGCCGCGUGAGUGAAGAAGGCC